rnacentral:rRNA from 1 species
UGGGGAAUAUUGCACAAUGGGCGAAAGCCUGAUGCAGCAACGCCGCGUGAGUGAUGAAGGUCUUCGGAUUGUAAAGCUCUGUCUUUUGGGACGAUAAUGACGGUACCAAAGGAGGAAGCCACGGCUAACUACGUGCCAGCAGCCGCGGUAAUACGUAGGUGGCGAGCGUUGUCCGGAUUUACUGGGCGUAAAGGGUGCGUAGGCGGAUGUUUAAGUGAGAUGUGAAAUACCCGGGCUUAACUUGGGUGCUGCAUUUCAAACUGGAUAUCUAGAGUGCAGGAGAGGAGAAUGGAAUUCCUAGUGUAGCGGUGAAAUGCGUAGAGAUUAGGAAGAACGCCAGUGGCGAAGGCGAUUCUCUGGACUGUAACUGACGCUGAGGCACGAAAGCGUGGGUAGCAAACAGGAUUAGAUACCCUGGUAGU